GCUGGUGUGGCUCAGUGGACGGAGCAUCAGCCUGGGGAACUGAAGGGUCCCGGGUUCGAUUCCGGUCAAGGGCA
rnacentral:tRNA from 1 species